UACAGAGGGUGCGAGCGUUAAUCGGAAUUACUGGGCGUAAAGCGUGCGUAGACGGUUGCGUAAGUCAGAUGUGAAAGCCCCGGGCUCAACCUGGGAAUUGCAUUUGAGACUGCGUAGCUAGGGUGCGGAAGAGGGAAGCGGAAUUUCCGGUGUAGCGGUGAGAUGCGUAGAUAUCGGAAGGAACACCAGUGGCGAAAGCGGCUUCCUGGUCCAGCACCGACGUUCAGGCACGAAAGCGUGGGGAGCAAACAGG
rnacentral:rRNA from 1 species